rnacentral:SRP_RNA from 1 species
UAGUCCCAGGAGUUCUGGGCUGUAGAGCAUUAUGCUGAUCAGAUGUCCAGACUAAAUUCAGCAUCAACAUAGUGACCUUGUGGGGAGCUGGAGGACCACCAGGUUGCCUCAGGAGGCAUGAAGUGGUCCAGGUUGCAAUUGGAGCAGAAUAAAACUCCCAUACUGAUCAAUAGUGGGAUCAUGCUUGUGGAUAGCAACUGCAUUCAAAUCCUGGGAGCAUA